GCUCUAUCCUACAAGAGCGUUUAUGUACCCAACAGCUGGGCUGGGGGAGUAGUAGUGUUUCCAUAGCAUAAACGAGGAAACUGUGAUUCAGAGAGGCUGAGUAAACUGCCUGAUGCCACACAGCUACAUGCAGUGAUGAAUAUGAGUUUCAAACUUGGAUUUUUCUGGCUCCAAAAUCUCUGUCUUCCAUGACAGUAAAACAAAGGAGGAGAAGAACGAGAGGUCAGGACCCUGUAAAAAUUAAUGAGAUGUGUCAGAAUGGUGCCUUUGGGGAUGGCAAAACUGGUGAUGCUGUUCCAGAUGGAAGACAAGGCAAGUUCUACCAGUUGAGGGCAUUACCCACCUGGUUCAGUAAGAAAAGCUUCUUAGUUCUGGAGAGCUCUUGCAAUGAUCUAUCCGUAAGAGCAAAUGCACUACAUUUAAAAUUAUAA
rnacentral:lncRNA from 1 species